UUUUUAUAUUUCAACCCGUUCUGCGUUAACUCCUCUCUUUGUGCCAUUGCUCUGUUAAUUCCUCUUUUUGCAUUUAGUUGAUCUAUUAACUCCAUCUCUUUUGCCAUUUUCUUUGAAUCUAUCAGACCCAGCUCCACCAGCUCCCUUUGAAUCUACUAAAGCAUUCUAGGUCGGAAAAUGCUUGAAUUCCAACUGAGAAGGCUUGGUGAUUUUGACGCUGAGAAAACUAUUUGCUCAUACCCCAACCUAGAUAAAUCUUUAAACUCUUGUGGGCCAACCGUGGGGAUGAUAGAAGCAUCCAAUAUUCUGGUACUACAGCUUUAAAAGGAGAUUUUUUCAGAUGUGGUCAUAGAAUGGCCUAGGGGAUUCUUACUGGUGGAUGUAAUGACCUAACAUGAUACUACUUGAACAACUUUGUUGAUGGUAUGAAAUAGUUCUCCACCAAUUUUUAGCUCAAAGUUGAGGUGAUCAGAGAAGAAAGAGGAUUUUUCUGGGUGGUUGACCAUCUCCGGUUUUCAGGUAUUGAUCCAGGCUGUGGAACAACUAGUUGAAAAGAUACUUUGAAUUAGCUUGCAUGGUUAUAUUCAAUCAUGUUAACUGCAACAGUGGUAAAACUCGCCCUGUGGCUUUACUGUAAAAGCUCAGGGAAUGACAUUGUUCAUGUCUAUGCAAAGGUGAUGGUGUUGUUACCAAAGGACAGGGCUAUGGAAUUCAUAGUAUUCAUGUGGAUGGAAGCAGGUAAACUCAAGACUCUAGGCAAAGAAGAUGCUGGUGCGGAUAAGAGACAUCAAUAUUAAGGUAAGGUGAUUUUUAAAGGAAAUAUUAGGUGGAUCUGUUUGUGUUAUAUACAACAACAUAGCAUGUUAUUCAACUAGAGAAGAACAUAGUUCAACUCACAAAUCAUCAAGGAUAUGAAUAAUAAUGUAUAUUGUGAUCGAGGACAUCGCAAAGCCUAGAUUAAGCAUGGAGUCAGUCUAUUUCUCGAAGGGAACAUGAUGAAAA